GAAGGACAGAACGGUCGGAGUGGGACUAGGAGCCUGGAGCGGGGGCGGGGACUUGAACAUUCCAGGCUCUGUGAACUAAGUGACUGAAGCUGAUUGACACAGGUCAAGGGGACUUCAAGGAAGAAAGCCAGCCUUAGACUGACAUCAGAGAACCAAACUCCGGUGUCUAAGCUCAAGGGGCUUUUGAUGAGGAGACCAAAAGGCAGCUCUGAGCACAACCCACCCAAGAGCUUUCCUGAAUUAAUGAGCUAGCUACAGGCUCAAUGAGAAACCCUAUCUUAAAAUGCAAGGUGGAGAUGAAUUGAAGACACCUGACAUCAACCUCUGGGCUCCACAUGUACACUUAUAUGCACAUAUACACGAAUAUGCACACACAACACAGAGUAUACACAGUACAACAAAAUACAGAAUAAAAGUAAAGCUAUAUACCCCUUUGUAUACAUGACUAGCCACAGCACCUUUAACUGUAAUAAGCCCAAACUGUAAAUCACCCAAUUGUACAUGACUAUGUGAAUUGAUAGCAAGCUAUGGGAUAUCCAAUGCAAUGGGCCCAUCUCUGACACUGAAUAACUCAGUUUAUAAGUCAACAACAUGAAUAGAUCUUAAAAUCAUGCUGAAUGAAAUAAGUUGGAUAUAAAAGAUGGUGUGCUGCAUGGUUUAUAUAAAAUACUAGAAAAUGACCUUGAACAAGUUACUAAACUCUGAACUUCAGAUAUACCACAGGGAAAUAAAAAAUUACGGUAACUUCAUAAUUUUCACCCACACUCAAGUUCCCUGAAAUAAUGACUCUGAGGCUGAAUUCUUAUGAAGAAAUGCCUUUGGCUCCUUUCUGCUAGCACAUAACUAAAUGAUCCUGUUUAAACUGGUCUAAGUCAUGCCACAUGGCGAGUUACCUCUCCUUCAGCUUCAUGCAACCUUCUUCUUCCAGCAUUUAAGAGUGAAUCCCCUCACCUAACUAUUUCCCAGAAUCCUAACUCUCUCUGAUGCCAGAUGCCCCACCUCCUAAUCCUGCCUCAGCUUAUUGACCAAUCAGCUUUUUAUGGACAGGUGAGUACUUUUGCACAGUGCACAGAUAAUCUCUACAGUUACUUUCCACGAUAAACUUGUUGUUGUGAUCCA
rnacentral:lncRNA from 1 species